UAUGGGUAGGUGAUUGUGAAUAUUCAUCGGUAAUUGUUGAUAUUUAUAGAUAAUUUUGGAUAUUUAAAGGUAGGUUAUGAUGGAUAUUUAUAGCUAGGUAAUUAUGGAUAUUAAUAGAUAAUUAAUUGUGGAUAUUCAAAGAAAGGUAAUGGUGGAUAUUUAUAGCUAGGUAAUUGUGGAUAUUUAUAGAUAGGUAAUUGUGGAUAUUUAUAGAUAGGUAAUUGUGGGUAUUUAUAGAUAAGUAAUAGGGGAUAUUUAUGGGUAGAUAAUUAGAGAUAUUUAUUUGUAGGUCAUUGUGGAUAUUUUUAGUUAGGUCAUUGUGGAUAUUCAUAGAAAGGUAAUUGUGGAUAUUUAUAGGUAGGUAAUUGUGGAUAUUUACAGAUAUGUUAUUUUGUAUAGUAAGAUAUUUACAUGGGAAGUGUAAAUU